UCAAGAGUCACAGCGCUGUCCUGCGUGACCUGCACCUCUCUGGGCGCAGCGGUCUCUCCGGAGAUGGCUGGCGGGACUGUGACACAUCGAAAACUCGGGUUAAAAGUGUACGUGCCGGCAUGAGACAGAGCGAGAGGCCCCAGCUCCAGUCGGUUCCCUCGAACAGACCACUGCCACUGCAGACUGCUCUCUGGAUAACAAACACAUGAAUGAACGCAGGCAGCUCCUCAUACUCCUCAUCCUCCUCAUCCUCUGUUAUUCACGGCUUCUUACCGAUAGGUGUUCCGUCUUUAAGCCAGGUGAUGCUGGGGACGGGGAUUCCUGUGGCAUCACAGAGCAGAGCCACGUGGGAGCCGAGUGUGUAGUUCAGGGACUCCUGGACGGGCCCGGCUAGGACGGGUGGAACUGUGGAAAUUUAUUAGUGAGAUGAAGACAUUUGGAGACAUCUUUUUCAAGAGGUUUACUCACCGUGAACGGUCACUUUGAACGUCCUGUCCACCUGUCCGGCCAUGUUGGACACUUUGCAAGUGUAGGUGCCGCCAUCUGUCAUCUGGGAACCAAAGAAAGGUGCAUUUUCAGCUCAGAUUAGUGAAUGGACACAUCUCUAAAUCGCCUGUGCAAAGCAUUUUAGGACAGUUGAUGACACAGAGUGGGUUCAGGCUUGUUCUGAUUCUGGCCUCCAUCCUACAAACUGGACUGACUACAUCAUUUGACAGUGUCUGUACUUUUUAAGCUGGUGACGAUUCACCUCCAGUCCGUUCCCCGUAGACAGUUGCAGCCCAUUUUUAUACCAAGUGACC